rnacentral:rRNA from 1 species
ACGAACGCUGGCGGCGUGCUUAACACAUGCAAGUCGAACGGUGAAGCGCCUUCCUUUUUGGUGGGUGUGGAUGAGUGGCGAACGGGUGAGUAACACGUGAGUAACCUGCCCCCUUCUUCUGGAUAACCGCAUGAAAGUGUGGCUAAUACGGGAUAUUCUGGGUCUGUCGCAUGAUGGGUCUGGGAAAGAUAUUGUUUCGGUGGGGGAUGGGCUCGCGGCCUAUCAGCUUGUUGGUGGGGUGAUGGCCUACCAAGGCGGUGACGGGUAGCCGGCCUGAGAGGGUGGACGGUCACACUGGGACUGAGACACGGCCCAGACUCCUACGGGAGGCAGCAGUGGGGAAUAUUGCACAAUGAGCGCAAGCCUGAUGCAGCGACGCCGCGUGAGGGAUGGAGGCCUUCGGGUUGUGAACCUCUUUCGCCAGUGAAGCAGGCCUGCCUCGUUUGUGGGUGGGUUGACGGUAGCUGGAUAAGAAGCGCCGGCUAACUACGUG